UACGUAGGGGGCUAGCGUUGUCCGGAUUUAUUGGGCGUAAAGAGCGUGUAGGCGGCCUGGUAGGUCAGCUGUGAAAACUCGAGGCUCAACCUCGAGACGCCGGUUGACACCAUCAGGCUAGAGUCCGGAAGAGGAGAGUGGAAUUCCCGGUGUAGCGGUGAAAUGCGCAGAUAUCGGGAAGAACACCCGUGGCUAAGGCGGCUCUCUAGUACGGUACUGACGCUGAGACGCGAAAGCGUGGGGAGCGAACAGG
rnacentral:rRNA from 1 species